AACGAACGCUGGCGGCAGGCCUAACACAUGCAAGUCGAGCGGAUCCUUCGGGAUUAGCGGCGGACGGGUGAGUAACGCGUGGGAAUAUGCCCUUCUCUACGGAAUAGCCUCGGGAAACUGAGAGUAAUACCGUAUACGCCCUUUGGGGGAAAGAUUUAUCGGAGAAGGAUUAGCCCGCGUUGGAUUAGGUAGUUGGUGGGGUAAUGGCCUACCAAGCCUACGAUCCAUAGCUGGUUUGAGAGGAUGAUCAGCCACACUGGGACUGAGACACGGCCCAGACUCCUACGGGAGGCAGCAGUGGGGAAUCUUAGACAAUGGGGGCAACCCUGAUCUAGCCAUGCCGCGUGAGUGAUGAAGGCCUUAGGGUUGUAAAGCUCUUUCAGCUGGGAAGAUAAUGACGGUACCAGCAGAAGAAGCCCCGGCUAACUACGUGCCAGCCGCCGCCGCCG
rnacentral:rRNA from 1 species